AUGAAUGUGCAUCUAUAGAACUUCUAUGGAUUUGCUUAACACUUUUGAAAAAAAAAUGCCUCUUCUUUUGUAGUGACAUCUGUGAAGUUCAUACACGUACUAGUAGCAGUACAGGCCAUGGUGAUCAGAUAUGAAGAGAUGCAGGUCUACAUUGUUCAACACAGUGUAUGAGUGAAACAGAGUGGAUGGCAAGGAUAGAAAACAUUUCACAAUUUUACAAUGAUCAAGUUGCCUGUGAUGACAGUUCUUGCCAACUGAAGCGGAAUUCUGCAUUAUAGAUUGUAGUUGUACAAUGAUCAAGUUGCUUGAGAUGACUGUUCUUGUUGUGGCUCUAAUACCAGCUGAAGAGGAAUUUUGUUUUAUAUUUGAAAACUGUGAAGUAUCAGUACAGACAAUGAAGUUCAGAAAUGUUGAGAUGCAGGAUUAAAUUAUUCAACACAGUGUUCAAGGGAAACAUAAUGGAUGGCAAGCA
rnacentral:lncRNA from 1 species